rnacentral:lncRNA from 1 species
UUAGAUGACGUAUAUUUUUCUUCUCCGUAUUGGUGCCUUACAAUCCACAUUUAAUGUUGAGAGAUCUAUUUUGAUGUUGUGGCAUGCAUGAAGUGCCUGUGGUCGAUGACAGAGAUCUUCUUUUGACCUUUCAUCCAAUUUCUCUAGUUGAGUAUGAAUGUAAUUGUUUUUGGCAGGUUACUCUGGUAAAAAUGGUGAAUGAAGCUACAGCUAACAUUCCGAACUGGGGUUCUUAGAACUGUGUUGUGAUUGAAGCUAUUCCACUCACGCAAGAUGUAUGAUGGGUUUGUAGUUUGUAGUUUCUAUACCCAUGUUGCACACGAGAAAAUCGUGUUCCCUCCCAAUGAUCAUUGUUAGAAUAUUUGAAACUUUCUUGUAUGCAGUUCCAUCUGUCCUUUAUCCUAUAUGUUCCAAACCUCUGUGUAUAGUUGCAAAUCUAUUCAUAUGCAGUAGGCUGCCAUGUUGAAACUAUUAGUUUACUAGUUGCAGCUCUUCCCAUUGUUAGCGACAAUGAUGGGGGAUCUCAAGUUUUUCGUUAUUUGUUGCUUUCAGAUAGACAAUAUGUUCUGCAUAGAGCAACAAUCUGGAUAACUUCAAGGUUUUGCUUGUGUUAUCAAUUUACAAGGCUGCAGUUAAAGUGAGCUACAAACAUCCUCUGUACUAGUUAGAAUUCAAUUCACUAUCAUGUUUGAGUGGUGAAAAUCAAUUGAAGAGUCCCAUAUACCAAUCCUUGUGGUUUGACCUCGACCUCAUAAGUUGGAUAUUUAUUUUACAUAUGAUCGCCUGUGUCCUGAAAUAUGGGACAUAGCCGAGAGUUUAUCACGCUCUCUACUGUAGUAGAACGAUGGAGUGCUCCUCAUGAUGAUCUGCGCCGUCUUGGGAACUAUUGGCGAAUUAUCCUUCUACCGGAUUUUUGUUAUUGUUCCUGAUUUUCAUAAGUGUUUUUGAAAAAUAAAUAUAUCUAAGGAAGUGGAUAAGUAGAGCAAUGAGUUAAACCAAUAUCACAACUGUCCUAGCCUCCACAGAGAGCAUCAAAUUGUUUAUUAGGAUAUUGUUACAAUUAAAUUUGUCACGAGGUUAAAAACACAUGGAUCAACUUCACUAGUAAAUUAGAUAUUAAGCAAAUAGAUGUGUUAUUAAAUAAUUUUGUAAAGAACAAUAUUGUAAUUUAAUAAAUAAAAGUAAUGGUAAUCUUCAGAUUUCGUUGCUUCAACUUCAAUCCCAAAUAUAACUUCAAAGGUAUUAAUUAGCUCCCAAAUCAAAGGUAUUGAUGUGUGUAUUCUUAAGAGUAUUGCCUUAAUCAAUAAUGUAAUGAAAGAGAAAAUUUAGAGUGUAGGAAUCUAGGUAUAUUGCUAAGCAUUGUAAAAAAAAAAACCAACCAAUUUUUAUAGGCAAUAAAUGGAAUUCAUCCAUCAAUGAAAUCACUCCUCUUGGACCAUAUGUAUAUACUACAUAAUCCAAUGAAAAUGGUCCAUUUAGAGCUACUGUUACGUGCUCCAACGAGUAAAUUUGUCGUGAUUCACGAAAUUUAGUAUGGACCUAGCUAACAUUCCUGUCCUUUCUUUCCUUUAAUACGUCUUUUGGCCACAUGUCCUUUAUGUCAUCUUUCACGAGUUUUCACCGUUAUCUACUAUAAACCUUUGGAUAUAUAUAGUGAUUUCAAUUACUUUUUUGGUGAUUUCUUGAAGGAAGUUUUUUUUUAUAUAUAACUAGUAAAAUUACCCGCGCUUUGCGCUUGAUUUUAGUAUCACGAAAUUUAUAAAAUAAUACUGAAAACUUAUCAGGCAUUAAAACUAAAACACUAUAUUAUCUUACAUACAAGAUUACGUAGUAACAAACAUUAAUAAUGUAAAUGAAAAUGAAAAUUAUUACAUCUUAUCAUUUAUCCUUAAUACCAUAAGCAUAAAUUAAUAAUUGUAAAAAUACAUACCAAGUUUUGUAAUGUAAGCAAUGGUGUCAGUGAGCCUCUCAACAGGAGCAAAGUACACAAAUAUUUAAUUGUGAAGAAGAAGAAGAAGAAGAAGAGGAGAUUAAUAAUGUAAAGGAAAAUGAAAAUUAUUACAUCUUAUCAUUUAUCCUUAAUACCAUAAGCAUAAAUUAAUAAUUGUAAAAAUACAUACCAAGUUUUGUAAUGUAAGCAAUGGUGUCAGUGAGCCUCUCAACAGGAGCAAAGUACACAAAUAUUUAAUUGUGAAGAAGAAGAAGAAGAAGAAGAGGAGGAGGUUCAGAAUUUUCGUUGUUUUAAAAUGAGAGGAAAUCCCUGUUCAUUACACUCUGUCAGAUACUUCAAUAUCAGUUUGAAUUAUUCCAAAACAAAUUCUAACUUAAUGAACUAGCUCCACAAAUAUCAACUUUCCCUUAUAGAUUCACCUAAUCUAUUUUUUUCCUUUUUCUUUUAUGUGUCUAAGUAAAACAAUUGAUCUAGUUGAUAGCUUAUAUAUUGGUUAAUGGUAACUGUGUACAAUUAAGUAACUUGCCCUUAAAUGGAAGUGAGCUUAUUUCGAUAGAACUUUUAACAGCAAAUUAUAGUGGGUGGGACGAAAAAGUAUUUGACCUGAAACAAGGCUUAUUUAAAGCAAACAAUAAUUAGUACAUAUUUUAUUUUUGAAAUAUACUUCAUCUCUGUGUGUUCCGAGUGCCAAUGUCCCUAAUAAUUUUCUUUUGAUCUAUAAAUGAGCUUAGAUGACGUAUAUUUUUCUUCUCCAUAAAGGUGCCUAUUAAAUGUUGAGAGAUCUAUUUUGAUGUUGUGGCAUGCAUGAUGGUCAAUGACAGAGAUCUUAUUUUGACCUUUCAUCCAAUUUCUCUAGUUGAGUAUGUAUGUAUUUGUUUUUGGCAGGUUACUCUGGUAAAAAUGGUGAAUGAAG